rfam:Schistocephalus solidus strain NST_G2 genome assembly, scaffold: SSLN_scaffold0008430
CUCUAGUCACACUCUGUGAAGAGACAUGGCGGGUGUGGUAAUAAGUGAGAGGCGGGAAUCGACCUUCGGGGUCUCUCGUUCGACAAUGAAAGACCACUCCCAUCACUGUUUCUUUACUUAUUCAGUGAAGCGGGAACUGUCAAUUAUUUUCCAUGUUGACAUUAAGCACACGUUAGUGCGUUGGUUCCACCCCGUGUGUGACUGGUGUGCCGGCGUCUUGGUCACAAAUUGCAAAGGAG